rnacentral:rRNA from 1 species
GCCUAAAGCGUCCGUAGCCUGUUCUAUAAGUUUCCGGUUAAAUCCAUUAGCUUAACUAAUGGGCUGCCGAAAAUACUGUAGAACUAGGGAGUGGGAGAGGUAGACGGUAUUCGGUAGGAAGGGGUAAAAUCCUUUGAUCUAUCGAGGACCACCUGUGGCGAAGGCGGUCUACCAGAACACGUUCGACGGUGAGGGAUGAAAGCUGGGGGAGCAAACCGGAUUAGAUACCCGGGUAGUCCCAGCUGUAAACGAUGCAGACUCGGUGAUGCGCUGGCUUGUGGCCAGUGCAGUGCCGCAGGGAAGCCGUUAAGUUUGCCGCCUGGGAAGUACGUACGCAAGUAUGAAACUUAAAGGAAUUGGCGGGGGAGCACCACAAGGGGUGAAGCCUGCGGUUCAAUUGGAGUCAACGCCAGAAAUCUUACCCGAAGAGACAGCAGAAUGAAGGUCAAGCUGGAGACUUUACCAGACAAGCUGAGAAGUGGUGCAUGGCCGUCGCCAGCUCGUGCCGUGAGGUGUCCUGUUAAGUCAGGUAACGAGCGAGAUCCUUGCCUCUAGUUGCCACCAUUACUCUCAGGAGUAGUGGGGCGAAUUAGCGGGACUGCCGUAGUUAAUACGGAGGAAGGAGAGGGCCACGGCAGGUCAGUAUGCCCCGAA